UACGGAGGAUGCAAGCGUUAUCCGGAAUGAUUGGGCGUAAAGCGUCCGCAGGUGGCUGUGUAAGUCUGCUGUCAAAGAGCAAAGCUCAACUUUGUAAAGGCAGUGGAAACUACACGGCUAGAGUGCGUUCGGGGCAGAGGGAAUUCCUGGUGUAGCGGUGAAAUGCGUAGAGAUCAGGAAGAACACCAGUGGCGAAGGCGCUCUGCUAGGCCGCAACUGACACUGAGGGACGAAAGCUAGGGGAGCGAAUGGG
rnacentral:rRNA from 1 species